UACGAAAGGUGCAAGCGUUACUCGGAAUCACUGGGCGUAAAGCGCACGUAGGCGGACUUACAGGUCAAUUGUGAAAUACCUGAGCUCAACUCAGGAACUGCAGUUGAAACCGUUUGUCUUGAAUACCUGAGAGGGUGGGGGAAUACCUGGUGGAGAAGUGAAAUUCGUAGAGAUCAGGUGGAACACCGGAGGCGAAGGCGCCUGCCUGGCAGUGUAUUGACGCUGAGAUGCGAAAGUGCGGGGAGCAAACAGG
rnacentral:rRNA from 1 species